GGAGGGAUGACCGAGCGGCUGAAGGUAACGGUCUUGAAAACCGUCGUGGUGAAAGCCACCGUGGGUUCGAAUCCCACUCCCUCCG
rfam:Anaerolineae bacterium CG2_30_57_67 cg2_3.0_scaffold_569_c, whole genome shotgun sequence.